CGUUGCUAUUGUUUAUUUCACAGAAGAACUUUCUAGAAAUUUCAGAUUGAUUCGAAAUUUCUCCCUGCUGAACUCGGCAUGGUGCCGUGCUGUGCGUCCUUCAAAUAUUAUUUCGUACAGAAAGUUCCAGAAGCUUUUGCUCUGAUAUGGAAAAUAGUUAUGAAGUUCCAAAACUAUUAAAGAACUUCUGCAUUACACGAUUCUGCUAUGGUGCAAAUGCAUUUUCUGAAGAUCCCGUAUACGUUCUGUAACAUUCAUCUGAAUUCUCAAGCGAACAUGAAUCUAAAGUUGAAAACCAUCGUUGACGGAGGAGUUUCGAAAUUACGAUUUCGGAAUACUCGGAAGCCCGGAACUUCCCGAUUGAAUAAAUGAAUAUUCUGCUGCGCUUCACUCGAUUUCCAAGGGAUCCUGCAUUUGUUUUGAGUCCUUCCAUGGAAAUUUCUGGCUGACUUGUAUGUAAAGGAUGACUUGAAUGGAGGCCUGUUUAAUGGCAAGAUAUCCCAUACCACCUGCUUUCUAAAUAAAGAUGGAUGUGCCAUCUUCUAAAGUGAGAAUCUGGAGGUGUUGAAAUUUCCUCAAGAUGGAUGUAAGCUCCAAUGAAUUUAAAUACUGAACUUUUAAAAUAUUAGUACUAAAAUCUAGCUUCUAUCGUGAUUUAAUUAGUAUCGUUUGUUGAAUUUAUUAUUAUCUGUGGUAUGCAGUAUAUGAUACUUAGAUAAGCCCUCUGACCAGAACGGUGGUCAAUAUGAUCGUUAAAGUGUUAAGUAAACAUAUAUUUAAAUUCCGGUUAGAGGGGUUGUAUAAAAAGUUUACCAACCAUUUAAAAUCGUGUUAAAGCAGCUCUUUAAUUAAAUUGCUUAUAUUGUGCCUUCGCUGCAUCAUACGGAGUUUUGACACUUAAUGAUGUGCAAACGAAUCUAAAUCUAUUGUAGUACUCAGUUUCGCGAUCUCGGUGCAAGCUCAACGAAAGAUUAAGAACUCCAAGCAUUCUACAAAGGGGCAAUCAAGGAUUUUUCCCCAACUUGUUACUUUUCACUGGAUAUUUCCAAGUAUGGAAUAGAUAUUGAACAAUGAACUUAACCGAAUAUAUUGGAAAAUGUUUGCUGUCUACUUAAAUUUUGUCGUAAAAGUAUAAUAUUAAAUACGAAUUUUUUCAAAUCUUUUCCUUCAAGCUAAUCAUAAUUUUGCACACUGGAUUCGUCAUUGUUCAUUUUGUUAUUUAUUGUGAUGUUUGGUUUGUUUUUAUGGAUAUUUUUAUAUCCUCUUGUUCUGCAGAGAAAUUCUGAACAGAUAGGAAUUUAUUUAAAUGAUCAGUAGUGUUUGCAGCUGCUGAGUUCCAACUGCUUGUAGUCAAGUUGAUUCUCGCCAAAUCAUCAAUAAAGUUUGUAAAGAAUGAGUCUCAUCCGACAUUUCUGGUCACUUUUUUCUACACUUGCUAAAGAAACACGUGCAUAAGAAAUUGAUAUUCCAUUUGUUUAUUUUAUUGCAGCUUCGAUUUUGAAUUGCCUCAGUCUGUGAACAGCUCCGCGGGGGAAACAAGGGCAUUUAAACGGCAAAUUUUCAAUUCAUUUGGUUUGCUAAAACUCCAGUUUAAUAUAUUAAUCUCGUCAUUUUUUUUUUGGUUAUUCCCAUUGUUUUAUGCAGCAACAAUGGUUGAACUUCUAAUCUCUUAUUAAAAAAAUUACAACCUAAUUGAAUUCCCUUGGAUUAGGAUCUCGUGUUCAUCUGACUAAUUAUUUCUCGGUUCCCCAAUUUUUUCAAUAUUAAGGAGACUUGAUUUUCCUAAAAUCUUCUUGGAAACUUGGUGACCUCUUCAGAUCCAAUUAUAAAUAGAAUUGAUGACACGAAAAAUAUUAACAAAGGUUUUCUUUUAAAGUUUCCAGGAAAAGGAAUAAAUCUUAAACAACUGAAAUAAACUAUGCAGACUUCAAGAAUUUCUGAAAAAUCUGUAUAAAUGUAUACUUAUGAAUUGAGUAUCGGAAUCAAAUUGCGUAUUUGGUAAUGUGGGGAGCUGGCAGUUCCUGCUUUCUGCUCCUAGCUUAAUAGAUUAUACAGAAAAUCAAUUUGAAACAUUAGUACUUUUUCAGGGCCGACUUUUAUCACGAAAACUUUAUCAAUAUAUAUCCAGUAAAAUAAAAUGCAAGUUAAAAAAUAUGGAAAUAUAGGCUGGUUGUUUGGUAAAACGUUGGCCAAAUUCAGAUUUAGAAAGUAAUAUGAUCAGUGAUUUGACUCUAAUCUGUUAACUCUUGGUUAUUAAUUGCAAGUAGUUCGUAAAUAUUCUUAAAGAUGAACUUUCUUUUCACUAACAAAUAUUGCGAAAUGUAUUCAUUUUUUUAUAGAAAGUUACAAAAUGCCUAAAACUUCAUACGAAAAAACUCUGUAGAAUUUUUAGUUCAAAAUUAAUACAAGAGCCGAUAACAGUUGCCAAACUGCAUCUUAUAAUUGUAAAUAUCAUAAUUGCUCACUAAUAUUUAUAAAGACGAAUUUGUGAUCAGCGGUUUAUUCUACAAGUAAUUGCCAUUAAAGGCGCAAAACGCGUAUUUUUGGAAUUUAAGAAUAAAUAAAUUUUGAAUAUCUUGAAAGUUGAGAUUGAUAAAACUUCUAGCUUCGGCGCAUUUUUAAAUUAAGAUCAGAAAAUGUAAACAGGAAAAUUUGUAGAGGUAGUUAGGCUCCGUU